AACUUUUCCAUGUAAUCAGCAUUAGGGUUUUAAACCCUAAACUGAACUUUUUCCUUUAGCCAGCAUUAGGGUUUUAAACCCUAAACUGAGCUUUUUCCAUUCAGCCAGCAUUAGGGUUUUAAACCCUAAACUGAGCUUUUUCCAUGUAAUCAGCAUUAGGGUUUUAAACCCUAAACUGAACUUUUUCCAUUCAGCCAGCAUUAGGGUUUUAAACCCUAAACUGAACUUUUUCCAUUCAGCCAGCAUUAGGGUUUUAAACCCUAAACUGAGCUUUUCCAUGUAAUCAGCAUUAGGGUUUUAAACCCUAAACUGAAUUUUCCUUUUAGUCAGCAUUAGGGUUUUAAACCCUAAACUGAACUUUUUUCCAUUCAGCCAGCAUUAGGGUUUUAAACCCUAAACUGAGCUUUUUCCAUGUAAUCAGCAUUAGGGUUUUAAACCCUAAACUGAAUUUUCCUUUUAGUCAGCAUUAGGGUUUUAAACCCUAAACUGAACUUUUUCCAUUCAGCCAGCAUUAGGGUUUUAAACCCUAAACUGAGCUUUUCCUUUAGUCAGCAUUAGGGU
rnacentral:lncRNA from 1 species